UUUGUUGAUCUUGCUUAUCUAUAUACACACAGAUACAUACACGUAUAUCUUUGCAUUUUGUUCAUAUAUAUAUAUUAUAAAUAUGCUAUACCUUUAUCUAUAAACAUAGGGAACCUGCUGUAGCAGGGGGCUGAGCUUGAUGAUCUCCAGAGGUCCCUUCCAACCCCUUCGAUUCUGUGACGCAAUACAUUCCUUAUCUGAAUGUAUACCUUCAGGAAUUUAUCAGGUAUUGGCCAAAAUACUAGAUAAACAGUUUUACUGUACACUUUAAAAGGAGUAUUCAUGUUCCUUUUAUUAUAUUUACACAGUAAGUAAGAACACGAAAUACAGGAAUUACUUUUUGGAGAGCGCUCUUAAACUAAGUAUCUGUUUGUUUGACUUGGACGCUGGUACCUAAAUUCUGCCUGUGAAGCAUUUCCCAUUUAAUUUGAGUUCUACUUCUGUAUGAAUGUUCACAGAAUUCAUUGAUUUACACAGAAAGUAGAGGGAAAGUGUUUUGUUUUUUUUUUCUAAAAAAAAGGCUUUCUGAGUUACUGAUAUUAUCACACUUUUGUGGGAAGGGGAAAAUUUUUUUUUUUAUUACUAUUCUGAGGCUGUAGUGCAUUAUUUUCCUCAUUGUCUUCCCUGCUGGUUUUCAGAUGCAGUCACUCCCCAUUCCUCAAGAAUUGGACCAUGAUGUGGAUUUUUUUUUUGGAUGCGGGCAGCUUCCUGCAGCCAGCUGGGAUUGUAUCAGGAGUUAAGUGCUGCUGGAACAACUUGUAAAGAAUAGGAGUGCUUGAUGACAUUUACCAGGCCUUGCUACUGUGAAGACUGAUCACAGUCAUGCCAUUAAAAUGAAUAAUACCAUUUAAAUCAGAGGAAAGAAUCAGUGAUGUCAGUGGCAAGCUGUCUCCUGCAGAUGUAAUGGUUUUGACUUGCUUUUGGCUAAACUCUUCUUGAUGAUCUUCUCAGAGGUCAGUAGAUCCCAUUAUUUUCUUUUAGAUUUUAUUAUUUUUUCCAUUUCUGCUUGAUAUCAGCACAGAUCUCAAGUUUUUGGGGGGUAUGUCCCUGAAGUUACCUUACCUGCCCCUGAGCCCUGGCUUUUUUCUAUGCAGUGCAUACGAGAAGGGACCAUCAACUCAAUUACAAGACUAAAUGUAGUUCCAAGCUGCUCUGUUGGGCAUCACUGAGGAUUGUGUGAGUGCAGUGUUAGAUUGGAGAGUUUACAGCAGAAUUAUACGUUGUAUUUUGUACAGAGCUAUUGUAAAUUUACGAUAUAAACAUCCUCUUAUGUUUUGAGUAUAGUUUGCUAGAGUGUUUUCUGUAUGUGUUAUUUUUAUUUGCAAGCUUGUUUUAGGAAGACCUCAACUGUAUAAUCACUUUUAUUAUUAUGUCUUUGGGUGAUAGGAUUCACAGCCUUUGAAUGUGAAGCUUGAAGUCAUUCACUUUCAGACUUUUUAACACUUCUUUUGUGUACGUAUAGCUAAAAGUAUCACUAGGCAUUCAGAAACAGUUUAAUCCCCUUGUUUGGGUGAUUAUCUAAAAAAUCCUGAAAGGGGUCUUAAUAAUAAUAUGCAGGAAAAUAAUUAUGUUUUUAGUGGGAGAUAAGAUAUAACAGACAAUUGGAGGAGUUAGAGUUAACUGUGAUAGGUUAGUAAUGGAACUUCCCUUUUAGCCUUUCUUAUGGGGAGACUGAGAUAUGGUCCAGAAAUCUAAGAGAAUAAGUUAAGUUGAGAAAGGGGGCAAAGGGGAAGAGUUCAAUGACCACAAUUGCCUGAUACAAAAGUAGAGAAUGGAUACAGUUUGCUGAAACUGGGAUGAAAGGUCAGUGUCUGUAAUGAGCAGAUUCAGACCCCUUACCCAGGAAAAACGUCUGAAGCUACACAAUGUGACUUUCAUGAUGGUGUUUUGCUUAAUAGUAUAGUGAAUAAAUGGUAAUACACAAUUACCAUACAAUCAGAGAUUUCCAGACAAGUUUGCCAACAAAUGGCGAUGCUCAUGUAAAACAGCAAAGCAUUGUGUUUGAAGAUUUUUUUUUCCGUAAUGUGCUAUUUUUUGUGAUCCACUGAUUUCUGAACUUAAGGUUUCCCGAUUCAUAGCUGCAGACAAUAGAUAAAAUGUACAUUUUCAUAAUGAUAAAUUAUUUAAAUGUUAGAAAUUAUGCUCUUGUAAGUUUGGUGUUUGUUACUGUUCAGGUUUCAUUACAAUAUUUGGAUGUGAAAAAUAUAGAUGAGUCCAGAUAUGCUACUGUAUAAAGUUUUCACCUAUCUAGAACUAUUUAAUAACUCUGGUACAGUCUGGAGUCUUUAGCCUGUAUUAAACUGGCCUAAUUUUCUUAAACCUUGUUCAGAUUUAUUACAUUUAAAAAAGUAAUUAAAUACCUAGUCUACUUCAUCACUCAGUCAGAAGGUUGUCUUGUAUUUUUUCAAGUUGUUUUCAAGUUUAUCUGAAAUUGGAAAAGAGAACAAAAGUAAUCUAUGAAAUACAUUAUCAAAUAUAAUUUUAACUUUUUUCAAUUAAGUAGUAAUCCUCUGUUAUUAUAAAUAACGAUUAUAUUAUAUUAACUACACUGCAAGUAGAAAAUUCUGAUUUGGCUGCAUGAAACUAUUUGAGUACAACUUUUUGUACCUCCAAAUAAGUUAACAUUUCUUUAAAUUAAUAUAUUCUAUUACUCAGACUAAUCUGUUUGUGAGCUUACUUAUGACUGCAUACAUUAUUCACAACUCAAGUACUGUGUUGUUCAGUUUUGGGCCCCUUGCUACAAGGAAGACAUUGAGGCCCUGGAGCAUGUCCAGAGAAGUACAGCGAAGCUGGGAAGGGUCGGUAGCACAGGCCUUAUGAGGAGCAGCUGAGGGAACUGGGAUUGUUCAGUCUGGAGAAGAGGAGGCUCAGGGGAGACGUUGCCCUGCUAUUGCCUGAAAGGAGAUCAUGGCAAGGUGGGGGUCAGCCUCUUCUCAUCAGGUAACAGAGAAAGGAUGAGAGGGAAUGGCCUCAAGUGGCACCAGCAGAGAUUCAGUUUGGAUAUCAGGAAAAACAUCUCCGAAAGAGUGGUAGUGCAUUGGAACAGGCUGCCCAGGGCGGUGGUGGAGUCACCAUCCCUGGAGGUUUUUCAAGAAAUGCGUAGAUGUAGCACUGAGGGACAUGGUUUAGUGGGUAAUACUGGUGGUGGCUGGAUGGUUGCACUAGACAACCUUAGAGGCCUUUUCCAACCUUAAUGAUUCUAUGAGUCUAUUGCUAGCUUUUGGCAUAGAUGUGAUAGCUAGGUAUCACACCAGAAAAUUACAGAGAAUGAUGUUAAAAUUCAUUAAAAUUCAAGGGCAUCUGGAGUUACUGUUGGGAUUUGAAGACUGAAAAUGAAAAUAUCAAAAGCAAUCCUAAUGCUAGGCCUUUCGAAAUGAUUCAGUAGGCAUGCAAGAUUUCAUACUGGUCUUUUAAGUGGAUCUAAGAGAAUUAAUUUAAUAUCAGCAUGUUCAAUAUGGAUUAAGCAAACAUGUCAGCAGACUAACAAUGCUCAUGCUGUAAACUGUAUGUCCUUCUGUUAAUAAAGGCAAAGAGGUGCUGCUUUGCAUAAUUUAUGGUCUCAAUAUAGUAUAAUAAUUGAGAAUAUACAGGAACUGCUAUAAAUUCCUGAUGCAAUGCAAGCAUAAAUCUGUUAACUACUAAGCAUGAUUGACUGCAGUCUUUUUUCCUUCUUCCUGUAUUUUUUCUAGAUGGUAGGUGGCUUUUACACAAAUGGCAAUAUCAUGUUUUUAUUGCAAAGUUAGUGCUGAAUAAAUUGUAUAUAUGAUUGUCACCCACAUUUUUAGGGUUUUUUUUAGGGUGCAUAUUCUCAUUUUUGUAUACAUUUAAUGAGUAGCAGCUGAAAAUUGCAAGGAGAUUAAAAUGAAAUAAUACCUCAAGAUGAAAAUGCUGUAAAUCUAUCAGCUCCUCUAUAUGUUUCAUGCAAGGAAGGAGAGCAUUAUUACCAGAAAAUGCAACCAAUUGCAUGCAUGUAUUACUCUACUUACUUAUCUGCACACUUUUGAGAAUUCCUGACCAAGCCCCUGCCCAAAUAUAAAUCUGAUUUGCAAUAAAUUUCAAAAUUCAGGUUUUUGCUUUCUUUAUAUCUUAGUUUUUCCUAGUGAUUUACGUCAUUUAUGUUCAAACGUCUCUUAAGUUAAAAAAAUAAAAAUAAAAUUAAUGCAUUCAAGAAAGUUAACUUUAAUUUUGGAGUAUAGCUUUGGAAUGUUUUUUUUUCAGUAAAAAUCCAAAUAUUUGAUGAAAUAAAAUGAUUUUAUUAGCUCUUAUUUUAAUGAAUGCAUUUCAAAUUAUUUCAGGUGAACAUUGCUCUGUUCAAUGGUUUUGUUUGCUUGUUGUUUUUUUUACAGCAUAACAACAUUUACUUUUUAUAAUCUACAUACUUGAAAUGCAGUUUUGGUCUAUUGUUGCUUGUGGUGUUCUCCUUUUUAACCACUAGCAGAAAUUAUUUAACCUGUUAGAUACUGGAUUACUUGGCUUCCAUUCCUAGUUUCAGAUUUGGAUUGUCUUUCCUCUCUUCUGUAUUGGACAUUGAUAGAAAUUAGGAAGCUUACUUUGGGAGCUUUGCCUAUAGUUUGUUUUCUUUCUUUGCUUUUGAAUUGAUUUCCUAGGGUAUUCUUUUGCUUCUUUUAAGCUGCUGAGACACAGAUGUCUUGAUCUUUAGUAACACUGGAUGAAGUUUCAGCUAUUGGCUUCUUGCUAUUAGACCGUUGUUGCCAAUUUUAUCACUGAUGAUUUGCAUGAUUGAUAAAUCUAACCAAAAGGACGUUAAGUCUGGUUGUACUAUCAUAACGUUGUCAGCUGGAGUUCAACCUGCAUUUAGUUGCUGAGGCAAAACAGUAAUAAAGAUAUUACUCGGUAUUUGUAAGCCUAAACUUCAUUCUAUUUGAUUAAUAAAUACCCGGUCUUUUAGUUAGAAUGGUUUAAGGAGCUGUAUUAUUGGAGUGUGCAAUUAUCCAGAAAACCAAACCUCAACAUUCUAGGAAAUAACGGGAAAUACUACUUACUAUCUUACUAAAAACUCUUCUGAGAAGAGUUGCUGCUUAGAACCAGCACUUUAAAAUAAUGACAUCUAAAUAUAUUUUAGUAGAUCUUCCUACGAGUACAAAAGUCUUUCUUUGCUUGUUUGUUUUCUACACCCAAAAGUCUGUGUAAUUGAGUAAAUCCCUUCCAGUUUCUGAAACAUUUUAAUUUUGAAUAGAUUGUUCCAUAUGGAUUGCUAUUGCCACGCAAGUUAAAAGCCUUACCUUUUUUUUCCAGAGUUGUAAAUAUUUGAUUUUGCAUUCGCUUUAACAAAGAGAAAUCCUGACAAUUUUUUUUAUGUAGACAAGAUCUUGAUCCAUACUGGACUGGUGGAAGUUCUUUCGUGUCUUCAUUGGAGUGUAAAAUGUGUUAUUUUUCCCUCAAAGUAUUUUUGUACACAGAUUUUUGACCAGGAUAGCUGACUGACUCUAUGAAAGAGUAAAACUGCAUCAAAGCAUUCUGAAUUAUUUUAGCAGUAUACAGCCUGUAACAUUAAAAGCAUAAUGGCAUUUCUGCUGUCAUACUAAUAACUUUCAAUAGAUCAUUAUUUUAUAUUAUUCUUUAUUAUUUCUGGUACUGUGCCAACUUGCUAACUUGCUAUUAUUAGCUUAAAAAGAAAAAGAGACUUUUAUCCCUUUUAAUAUAAUUUGUUAAGGGAUUACAUUUCAUCAUGUUCCAGAUUUUAGUACUUAAACACCGGUUCUUUUUGUAAGUUUGUUGCUCUGCUCUUGAUGUACAUAUGCAGCCCUAAAAACAUUAGAAUCACUUGGUGGAAACACCUAUCUUGUGCCUAUAUAUAAUGUGGUAUGAUUUUAACAUUGAAAGCUAGGCCCCAGAGGGAGUUAAUAAUUUUAAAGAAUGUGUGACUUCUAUACAGGCUUCCUUUUUCUCCCUCAAAUCCUUCCCAUGUUUUUGAAAUGUUUGAUCAAUAAUCAUGUCAUUAAACUCCCUGAAUCAUUUUAUAUCAUUCUACUUGGUAUUUGUAUUAACAAUAUUCUGAGGAAGCCUUCCCUAAGUCCAGAGAAUACUGAGUGGCAGGGAGUGUGGAGGGACUUGGGAGAGACUUUAGAGAAAUGGGCAUCCCCAGUGUCAUGGAAUGUCACUCCUGAACAGCUGCAGAACAGCAUGGUUGCAGCCUCAGCAAAUCUCAGGAGGAACAAAUGAUUGGGGGCCUGGCUUAUGCCUACCGAGCAACGUUCAACACUAUUACAGAUAGAGACAGAGUCCAAGUCCUUAUUGUCAGAUACUCACAGCUGGCCUCCUAGAAGGGAAGAGUGCUCUGCCCCAUCACCCUGAAUUGGAAAUCACAUGAGUACUGGAGAAUUGUAGCUUGGGAAGCGUAGUCCGUCUCUUCUCAAUGUAUCUUCCUCUCGGAAAGCCGGAACUCACAUGGGAAUAGCUGAGACUGCUAGGAGCAAAAGACCCAAGAAGCAUAGCUCUCCAACACCAAACAGCUUGCUGCAUGAUGUCAUGAUAUGGAAUACUGACAAAACCAGGACAACAAGAACUUAAAGAAUAUUGGAAACAUAUUGGAACAUGACUAGUUGCUGCAGUCCUUAGCAUUGCGCAAGGCACGUGCAAGACACUGGCAAUGAGUCAAAAGAGAAAAGUAUAAGUUUCAAAUUUCAACACAGUUAUAUUUAAAACCUGUAUUUAAAUGUGUGCCUGUUUGUGAAACACAGAUUUUAUGAUCUAUUGCUAACUUCAAUUCAAAACCACUACAAGUAUACUCUACUAAGGCCAUUUCAGAAUCCUUUUUUCCUGAGGCACUUUUUUGUUUCAGGCUUGAGGCCACUCUAGUCAUUGCUGCAGGCAAAUCAAAACACAGAACUACAUUUAAUCCUCUAAGCAAAACUACUUACCAGACUCUCCAAGGUGAGAAGAGAAACCAAAAUCAUGCUGUG